rnacentral:rRNA from 1 species
AUUAACCUCGGAUCAGGUAGGGAUACCCGCUGAACUUAAGCAUAUCAAUAAGCGGAGGAA